AGGUGAAAAGGACCCCGGGAGGGGAGUGAAAGAGAACCUGAAACCUUGUGCCUACAAGCACAUAGAGCACAUCAACGUGUGAUAUGGUACUUUUUGUAGAACGGUCCGGCGAGCGAUUGUAUGUUGCGAGCUUAAGCGCUUAAGGCGUGGAGGCGUAGCGAGAGCGAGUCUGAAAAGGGCGUUCAGUAGCAUGCAAUGGGCCCGAAACCGGGUGACCUACCCAUGAUCAGGCUGAAGUGAAAGUAAAAUUUCAUGGAGGGCCGAACCGACCUCCGUUGAAAAGGCGGCGGAUGAAUUGUGGGUAGCGGAGAAAUUCCAAUCGAACUCGGAGAUAGCUGGUUCUCCCCGAAAUAGCUUUAGGGCUAGCCUCAUAUUAGAUACCCGGAGGUAAAGCACUGAAUGGCCUAGCGCCCGAGAGGGUAGCGAAGCCUAUCAAACUAAGAAUGCCGGAGUAUUGAUGUAUGGGAGUCAGACAGUGUGAGAUAAAUCUCAUUGUCAAAAGGGAAACAGCCCAGAUCUACAGCUAAGGUCCCAAAUUGUAUCUAAGUGGAAAACGAUGUGGAAAUACGCAGACAACCAGGAUGUUGGCUCAGAAGCAGCCACUCAUUUAAAGAGUGCGUAAUAGCUCACUGGUCGAGCGUCUCUGCGCGGAAAAUUUAACGGGGCUAAGAUACAAACCGAAGCUUAGGCUGCACGUAAGUGCGGGGUAGGGGAGCGUUGUGUAAGCGGAGAAACAGUAGCGUAAGCGGCUGUGGAGUUUACAGAAGUGAGAAUGCCGGAAUGAGUAGCGCGAAUGUGGUGAGAAUCCACAUGGCCGGAAACCUCAGGUUUUUGGAGGAAGGUUCGUCCGCUCCAAGUUAGGCGGGAGCUAAGGUAAGGCCGAAAGGCGUAGCCGAUGCACAGACGGUAGAGAUUCCGUCCCCACCGAAAGACUUAAGCACAGGGACACUUUCAGAAGGUCGGAGCCAGGUGUUGGUUCUGGUAGUGAUCGAGGGAAAUAUAGUACCGAAGUCCGGCUGGAAGAGAGGCGAGAAAAGCUGUGUGUAUGUUUAAGGUGCCCGUACCGCAAACCGACACAGGUAGGUAGGAAGAAGAUUCUAAGGCCAACGGGAGAAGGGUUGUUAAGGAACUCGGCAAGUUGACCCCGUAACUUCGGAAUAAGGGGUGCUCACGAGAGUGAGCCGCAGAGAAUAGGCCCAGGCAACUGUUUACCAAAAACACAGGUUUGUGCUAAAUCGAAAGAUGACGUAUACGAGCUGACGCCUGCCCGGUGCUGGAAGGUUAAAAGGAGAUGUGCAAGCAUUGAAUUGAAGCCCCAGUGAACGGCGGCCGUAACUAUAACGGUCCUAAGGUAGCGAAAUUCCUUGUCAGGUAAGUUCUGACCCGCAUGAAAGGCGUAAUGAUUUGGGCACUGUCUCAACAGCCCGCCCGGCGAAAUUGUAGUACCGGUGAAGAUGCCGGUUACCCGCGACAAGACGGAAAGACCCCAUGGAGCUUUACUGUAGCCUGAUAUUGGGUUUCGGUGUUGCAUGCACAGGAUAGAUGGGACGCUGGGAAAGAGUCGCUUUGGCGAUUCUGGAGCGGACGUUGGGAUACCAUCCUUGCGACAUUGGAAUUCUAACCUGCGCCUCUGAAUCGAGGCGGGGGACAUUGUCAGGUGGGCAGUUUGACUGGGGCGGUCGCCUCCUAAAAAGUAGCGGAGGCGUUCAAAGGUUCGCUCAGCUUGGACGGAAACCAAGCUAGAGAGUGCAAACGCAAAAGCGAGCCUGACUGCGAGACUGACGGGUCGAGCAGAGACGAAAGUCGGAGUUAGUGAUCCGGUGGUAUGUGAGUGGAAAUGCCAUCGCUCAACGGAUAAAAGUUACCCUGGGGAUAACAGGCUGAUCUCCCCCAAGAGUCCACAUCGACGGGGAGGUUUGGCACCUCGAUGUCGGCUCAUCGCAUCCUGGGGCUGUAUUCGGUCCCAAGGGUUUGGCUGUUCGCCAAUUAAAGCGGUACGCGAGCUGGGUUCAGAACGUCGUGAGACAGUUCGGUCCCUAUCUGUCGUGGGCGCAGGAUAUUUGAAAGGCGCUGUCCCUAGUACGAGAGGACCGGGAUGGACGAACCUCUGGUGCACCAGUUGUCACGCCAGUGGCACAGCUGGGCAGCUAUGUUCGGAUCGGAUAAACGCUGAAAGCAUCUAAGCGUGAAGCCGGCCUUAAGAUAAGAUAUCCCACUGAGUCAAUCAGGUAAGACCCCUUGA
rnacentral:rRNA from 1 species